UGUCUGCCUACUGCUUCGCACACUGCAUGAUUUGCUGCUGGUAGACAAAACUUACUCCUGAUUCUUGAAGGAGGGAUGUUUUUUGCAGGGCCUGUAGCCUUGACUUCUGGCCAUAUAACCAAGUGUGUUGAGCAGAAAAGGGGUUUUCCUGAUCACAGUUCCAAAUCCUCUCUCCUGACCAUGGGACUUCACUUUCUGGACAUUGUGUGAAAAAGACUGGAGAAACAAACUCUUAUCUUCUCCUUAUCUGGCUCAAUACCUGCAGAGAGCUCAGAAACAGUGACAUAAGAGAAUUAGAGUAAGUGCUGUAAUGAGGAUUUCAAGUGAGAAGCUGGCAUGAAGAAGCACCUGCAGCAUUUAACUGCUGUGUUUUAUUCAUCCUGAAGCAAGUGUAAUUUAAAGGGACACCUCUAUAAUUGAUGAAGUAUCUCUUUACUGUUUGUUUAAUUACCAGUUUCAAUGUCUAGAAAGCAGUGGAUCAAUAAUUUACAGUGAUGAACUCCCUGUGUCCCUCUAGUUCAGCCACACAAACAAUAGCUCCGGAAACAAACACUUUUAAAGUUUUGAUGCUUUUCUUUCUCUGUAGUUGAUUUGAAAGAGCUUAACCCUUUUUUUUCCUACCACAGGCGUAUUCCAGUACUGCUGAAGCUGAUGGCAGAGCUCCCACUGACAGCAGGGAAGCGGGGCUAAUCUAGGGCAUGCCAUGAGCACUGUAUCAGCUCUCAUCUUUUUUCAGUCUCCUUUCAUUACUGUAAAAUGGCUAAGCCUGGGCUCGUGCUGUUGCUACGAUAGCUGAUGAUGCUGCUCACCAUCUGAGAACUGUUAAAAUGCAGAAUUUCGAUGAAGGAGUUGAAGCUGCUUGCCUGAAUUUUGUAUGGUUUUCCUGCAUUAUAUGCUCUGUAACAUGUAUUGAUUUUCUGUGGUAGAUACCUUUUUUUUUUUUUUGAGACUCUCAGACCAUCCUUUCAGAGCUCAGAAUCCUCAAGACUGAAUUUCUCGCUUUCUGCAGGGGAACCUCAGUAAUGUAUGCCUGUAGAAUCACAGGAACAAAAUUGUUCUCUUCCCAUUGGUAUAAGAUAUCUGGUGGUUUCCUAUCAUUGUUUUGGCUGCCACGAACAGUGGAGCUUGAUCAAGAGUAGCAGAACAGAAGGUAACCAAUUUUGUGAGAUCUCCAAACGUGUGCGCUUCUAACAUGAUGCAGUCUUACGUCUACACGCUGGUGGCCUCAAGGUAGAGGGAUAACUUCACUUUUCUGCCUUUUGUAAGGAUGUUCUCAUUGUCUCCAUCGGCACAACUCUUCUUGCUUCUGAUUCUUAGGGGUGCUGAUCCUCAUCUUCUGACAGAGAACAGAAAGCUGUGGGACAGCUUAUAUUGUUAUGAAUGUCGCAUCUGUCACAUUCAGCAGUUUAUACCCGUGUAACAGGAACUAUGAAAAUUACCUCACGAUCUCUCGUUUGAGUUGAAGGUCACAGCCUGAAUGUUUUCUUUGGUAUGGUAGCUGUAAAGAGUAGAGAGCCGUGCAUGUCUAUGGCUGCCUGUUUUGUGUGUGUCAGCAGGAUUUCUGCUGUUUUUCAGCCACCGUCCGUAUGACCAUAGGUAAAUCGGAAAGAAAGAAGAGGGGAAUGAAUGUUUCCAUUCACUGUAUAGGCCUGUGUUUAUCCAGAUGUGGAACGUGCAUUCCCGAGGACCACAAAAGGAACAGGCCCCCAGUUAUUCUUUGUAUAUUUUGUCUUUGGUUUUGAUUAAAUCUAUGCUGUUGAUCAAGCAGAAAAUCUCAAAAACGCUCUGAGCAGAAUAGUGUGGCCCUCCUGAGUGGGCAGAGUUACAGCUGUGUCGUAGAGAUGGGGUGUUCCUCAUACUUCACGGGGGGCUUACUGAGUUGCACGCCAAUGGUUCUUUUUCACUGUGGCUGUUCUAGAAGUCUUGUCUCAUCAGAGCUUUGACUCAGUAAGAGUAUAAGUUUUUUAAAUGUGGGAAAACAAUAUUGUGGAUCAUUUGAGGAAUACAAGCCAAUGUGGGAUGCCCUUCUGAAAUGAUGUCUGUGUUUUUCAGGCAUCCUGGUGUAUCUUUGCCAAGAUGACUGUAACUCAUGAUUUGCUGAUUACUGUUAACUGAAAUAGAUCUAUUUUAGAAUCAAAGUGUGUACGAUCCGUAAAAACCUGAAAGGCUUUAGUGGGAACGUCGUGGUGCUGUCAGACUGGUCAGAAGAUUACUUCAGACGAUACCCUUCGUCUGGUGGCUUUUACUCUCCUUUUCAGAAGCAGCAGAAGAGACAGGGUAAAGGGAAGCAGCUCAGACAUAAGCCAGCUGUGAGCCCACGUGCUCCUGUUGGCUGCCAGGCCUCAAACCUGACACGUUGCCAGAUAGCCAGUUUGCACUGUGUGUCUACUUUUCUUUCUGCUUUUGGAAACUGCUUAGGCCGCUUCUUUUAGGAUAAACUAGAAUCUCUACAAAUCAAUGGAUGUGUUCCUGUUUUGGGUUUGUUAUCUAGUUUUAUUCCAGACUUUUGAAGAUUCUUUCCUUAAGCUUAUCGUAGGGGCCUUAAGCCAUCAAAGUAAAUGCAAAAUGCUUUUGGUUCCCUUGCAAAGAAGGGUAUAAAGGAAGUUCUGUGCCAUAUGUGUUCCUAACAGUUUGUUGGACCUUAAACUUUUCACUGUCCCAAAAUAACUGCCAAACAAAGUCAGUUUGGGACAGAAGGGAAAAAAAAAAAAGUGGUGGAAGUACAAAUUGUGCCUGUAAACUUUAGGCUUAAAAAUCAUCAAAUGAAAAACUAGUCCAGUUGUUCAAAUGUCUAAAGCAUUGAAUGUGUCCUUUUUCUAUGCUCAUGAAACUUGGCUCCACUUGGUAGUUCAUAGUUUGCUUACAGGAUUGCUAUAAGAGUCCCACCCAGAAGGAAAAUAAGAGUGUUGUUAUGCUGUCUCUCCCAGGUGUCACUUGAAUGUGGUGUCAGAACGAAAUGUCACAAUACUUGCAAACUGGUACGUUGUGAUUUUAUUUCCCUCAGGGGAGCUGUAGACAUUCUAUGACACGAACCUUUGAUAGGUAGUAUUGUACCAAUAUGAAAUAUGUUUACCUCACCAUUUCCCUUAACUUGAUAACUUCAAGUACAAAUUAGACUGACAUAAAUCUUAACAUUGCUGUAAACUUCCUAUAUUGCACUUAGCAGGAUGGGGAGUAGGAUUAGCUGUUGAGACGUUCUUCAUCUGCAAGCUAUUUUAUAAAAACAAACCAUUUCAGGAAGUAUAUUCCAUAUGUUAUCCCCUCUCCCAUGCUUUUUGUAAAGUUUCAGCCUUUGAGCCUUUGUUUUUGUGACAUUAGGAGCUUGAAUUUACCUAAUAUAAUCUAGUUAUAACUUGCAUUCCAGUCUCCUUAUGGCAGAAUUGUUUUGACACCUGACUAGGAACUCACCAUUAGCUUUAUUCGGACUUUACCAAAAAGAAAAGCUUCAUGUUGACUAAAAGAAGCAGUUUCUUUUAGCUGUUUUGGAGGGAGAUGUUUCCUUCUUAAACCAUUUCUCAUAGCAUCAGGUGUCUGGUUUUGGAUGUGGUUUGUUUUGAUGCAAAACUGCAUUGAUUAAAACUGUCAAUUAAAGAAGAGAAAGAAGAAGAUCAAGCAUAGGACAGCUGAGUUGUUUCCUAUAGAGCAUCUUGAGAUAACAGAUCUGCUAUUUUGGAUUCCUCUAAAUCAAUACAUGUUGACACACUUAAGAAUAAUAUCAUUCUCUAGAUUUCAGAAAAUAGGACAGCUUAAACUUACAGUUUUGAUAUCAGCAUUUUUAAACAGGCAAUCCUGUAUUGGAGAAGAAUUUUAUAACUAUUGGUGACGAGUUCCCCCAUGAGGCACGGACUGUUAUCUCCACGUCAGAGUCCUGGUUUCAUACCUGUGCUCCUUCUAACUUCAGAGCCAAAACAAAUAUCUCACUUAUCCUGAAACAGACUUUAUGAAACUGAACAAACAAUUUACUGACUUUAUCUUGGAACUUAGUACCAAAAAUAAGGAGAGAGGACAGCAGUGUUAGGGUCAGACUUAAUGCUGAGACUUUGUACAGACGCAGAUGCGUCCUGUCAUGAAUGCAAGAACAUGAAGUACUUAAUUGGGCAAAAAAACAGAGGUCAAUUUUAACAUCUUCAGCAACUAAGAUGUCCCUAAGUGUAAAUCAAAUAUGAAAUGGUAUCUUGGGACAGCAUUGCUAUAUGCCCUGGACAGCUUUGCACACCCUUGACUGCAUGCUCUUUUCUGGGCUGGUGAUGUAGGGACAAGGGCAGGUUAUGGGCAGCUGGUGAAGAAUGUAGCUGAGACCUGGUUAUGCUGGAGCAAUGCUCUGGAACAGCAAAGGGAACAGUAAAUCUCAGCUCCUUCUCAACAGGACUGUGAAGCUUCUGAUGGUGUGAUGAAGAACAGUGCUCCUGCUGUCCAAAUUCUCUCUCUUGGUGUCUCAGCAAGGAGUUCUCCAUAAGGAUAGCCUGCCUUUCUUAUUUUAAGUCUCUCAGCUGCACUUUGCUGAUUUGACAUCAGGUUCUCCUAUAAAUUGUGUAACUCUGCAGAGGCUGUGUUUGUAGACAGGAGAGAGGUAGGCAGGAGGUAGCAGGCCUACAGCCACAACAUUCUUUCUACAAUUUGUCACAAACAUCUGUUCCAUUCAGAAAAGAAGUCUAAGUGAUGAACCUGCCUAGGAACUUGCCUUGUAUUCAUUUUCAUGACAGCUAUGGGACUGUCAGACUGUUUGCUAAGCAAGCUUCUCUACACUGGGAGCUGAGAAAUUCUGCCUUUAUCUGAGGACAAAAGAGAUGGAGGAAUACCACUCACUGCAGAGCACAGGGAAACGUUCCUGUUAUGUCACUUUACCCAACAUUUGGCUAACGCUUUGUUGUAGGAACUCCCUUUCAUUGGUAUAAAAAGAAAGAAAAUCUGUUUUUUAACUGGGCUUGCCGGUUUGGCAUCUGUUCAAGUGACAGUAAGAAGUGUGCAUUGGGGCUGCAAUUAAAGCUCGAGGCAGCAGGGAGUCUGACAGUUUUGCUGAGAUGUAUGUGGCUUGUUGUAGUUAGGUACAACUGUUUGCUGCUGAAACUGUUGGCCUGCAAGACGUUCUUGCAUACAGUUAUGUAGGAAUGCUUUGAAAAUUAAAUUAAAUGGCUCCUUCUACAGGUGCCCAACAUCCUUACAGUUUAAAAUAAAAUAAGAGAGCUGUCCCAUUCACAAAAUGAAGCAACAAACUGUUGUGCUCCAUGGAUCCAGGAAUGCUGUCAUCUUCUCUUCUGCAUUACUGCUGGCACAUCGUGUGCUAGGACAGGCUGUGUCUUUUUCUGCUCUUUGUGUAUCAUUGAUGUGCUCAGCCCUGCUUUGCAGGUGUUAUAAGUCUCUUCUGUCUGUCCUUUUGCUCCCAGGAAGAAAAAGAGCUAGCAGCUGCAAUUCGUGCAUUUUGUUUUCUUUUUCAGGCUAUGGGAGGAGAGGCUCCUUUCUGCUCAGGAGAGAAAUAUUGUCCGUCUCCUUAGAGAGCAACCUGAGGUUACUGCACACUGCUGGUGUGAGAAGAGCCCUGCUCUGCCCAUUGUGUCCCUCCUCAGCGUGCUUGUAUGUUCUUCAUUUCCAGACUGAAAGCAGUUUAGUGCUGAUCUGGCCUUAUAUAGUAAUUUCCUAUUAUUAGAAACAUUUCCUUGGGACCUUGUUCAGGGAGUAACAGAGGGAAAUCCUGUUUCCUUCAUCUAACAUGCAGGCAAAGCACCACUGUUCACUCUUUCCUUAUCUAGUGUCACUAGAACAAGAAGCUUUUAUUAUAACAUGCUUUUCAGUCCGAAUCCCUUUCUAACACUAAGCCUCUUUCCAGAAAUGCAGAAAAAGAAAUGUUGAAGGAAUAGGAACUGUCAGUCACCAGUGUGAGCUGUAGAACAUUGCCUGCAGCCUAAUCCGAGGACUCGGAGAAGGUGAUGUCAUGAAGUUCUCAAUAAGGUGAAGGAAUUCUGCAGUCUUGAGACACCUUUGUAGUGAGUACAAUGGGCUUUUUAUUAAACCUUCAUAGGUCUGCAUUCUCCUAUCUGACCAGGAAUGCUGCAUCUCCUGGGUCCAAUAUCCUGUGUCCAUGUUUCUGUUGCACACUUCUUGUCUGGGGGGACAUCUCACUGCUCUCUGCACGCUGGAGGGUGAAUUGCAUCAAUGUAAGCAAAAAGGGGGUAGAAAGCAGGUGAUUGUUAGCAGAGCUGAUGGUGCAGGGGAGAGGUUCUGCCUUGUUAUCAAGCCUGUUAGAACAGUUAGCAUUGCAUCUUUGGCAGGGCAUUGAGUUAUUCAGUUGUGUGGUCAGAUGUUUGUCCUUUGCUGGCUUUUUUCCUUAGCAGUGGGCCAGAUGUCCUUCAGAACCCCCAGGUCCUGCUGUAGGGCAUCUUGGAGAUGCAAGGCACUGCGGUCAGGUUUUGAUCAGUGCAGUGCAGACAGCAGAACUCGUGUGGAAGGCUGAAGAAAUGUCUGCUCUUUGCGAAAGACUUUCCUCUGACCUGCAAGGAGACUCGAAUUCCUGGCCUGUUUAGGGUGGUUUGUUUCCCAUGGUGUCUUUGCCAAGUACUUUCUAAUUAUGGAAUGUGUGUUAUUCUGCAAUUCUUCUGCAAGGCAGAAAUAAUGACUAUUAUAAAAUACAUAUAUAUAAGCAUUUAUAAACGAGCUCAACAUCUUUUGGUUUUGGAAUAACGUAAAUACGACCUACAUUCCUUUUUGAAUAAAAAACACCAAAGCCAGAAUCUCUUACCUCCAGAUUUAUAUUGUGUGGUGGAAUCUGCACAGCACAGGAAAGGACUGUGGUUUGCUUGAUGCCAGCUCUGUGGGGCCAGGCUUUUUUUCAGGAGAGCCACUGCUUGUGGGCAGCGCAGCGAGUCACGCACUGCGCCCUGAGCCUGCUGGAGCAGGGCUGGCAGGAAAGGUUUCCAGUCCCCUUGCUUUGAAUGUGAGAUUGUAUGCAGGGAAUCAGCUGCUUAUCAGCAACGAGCAGAGCAAUCCCAGCGCUCUGAUGCAGGGUUUGUAUGACUCAUUUCUAACUGGUGUGGCCUGGAAAACUUGAUUCAUACCUCUCUGCCUGUAGUUGCCUGUAUUAGUGAUACAGAGCUAGCUAGCCAUCCUCAGCAGAAUGUGCAGACAAGGGCAGGGCUCUCUGUUGCUGGAAAAGAAGAGUGAGCUUUUCACUUUAAAAGUCUGGGAUCAGAAUCUUACGAAUAAAAAUUAUGUUGGUUAUCUCUGUUUUCCAAAUAUGUAUUUUUUCCUCCUAAUUUAGUCUAACCCAUGAGCAGGAGUGUUUUCCUCACCAACAAAAGUUGGGCAGUAGUUUGGCUAGAGAAAAAGACUGUUUUGAGUAAAGGUCUUCCCAAUACAUAAAUAUAUAAUUAAAAAAAAAAAAAAGGUUCUGCAUUUAAAAAAAAAAAAAAUCCUUCUGAACAUACCUGUGUGUUCUCCCAUGUGACAUUUGCAGCUGUAAGAUACGUUCUAAGAAGGAUUGUUAGAAAGUAGUAGAGACAAUGGGAAAGGUGAGGUUGCAGAUGUGGAAAUAACUCCAUGCUAAUACGUAACUUAAAAUGGUAACAUGAAUGUUACAGACCUCUGCGAAGUUUGCCUAUAACCAGACUGAUCUGAGGGAUGAUAAUAGAGGGUUGCCAUUACCCUCCUGAAGAAUUAGAGCUGCUAGGCAACGUUUCUAAUUAGAUGUGGAAAACUCCAUGCUCAAGGCUUGCUGUCAUGCUUUGGUGAUGGCUGACGUGGCUCAGUUUGGGAAAUGUAGCUUAGAUGAGCUUUGAUCUUACCUGUGCUCCUGCACUGAGCAGGGCUUUGGAAUACUGCUUAUUUCUUUCAUUGCUCUAAAGCUGACCAGUGCUAAACCUGCCUUUGAAAUGUGUCCUCAGGCUCUCAGAAGGUGUUCCACGAGCUUCACUGCAAGUCCUCAGAAGCGUUGGCUUCUUCUUCCCCUGAUGGAUGCCAGCACAGGAUCAAUGCUGGGCCUUGGGUCAGAGCUAAUUAGAGAGCAGCGCUGAGCACUGAACCGCUGACAACAUCUGCUACAUUUCUUGGGUUUUAAAUAGCUUCCUACUGAGUAGUGGCCAUGCAUGGCCUUGAUUUACUUAACUUGCUUUACUUCAAAGCUUUUUAGCUUUUUGCUUUAGUUGGUUUCAUAAAAGAACGACAUCAAGCAGAGCUGGAUCCAAAUAGUGCCAACCAUGAAUUAUCAGCCGUCAGACUUGGGGGUAAUUUUGUAGCUCUGUUUGUUCAGUGGUUAGAGAAUCUGCCAUUUGGUGCUGCAGAAUUUGGCUGAUGAAUGCCACGUGGGACCACUUUAAAUGGAUUCCCACAGCUGAGCUGCCUGUAAUGUUGGUUCUGGGCAGAUGAGCAAAGCAGGGUUCAUUCCGCAGUGCCAGUCCUGCACCCGUGUCUGAUCCCAGACUAGUGCACCUAAGGGCCAAGGAGCCUUUUUAGAAAGAGGAAAUCCGAUUUCUUCCUGCUUUCUCCUUUUAUCCUAUGAUCAAUAUAGAAGCCUUCCUCACUUAAAGAAAAUAAAAGUGCUGUCUCCGUGUUGAGGGAAGGACGUCAUUGUCUGCCACCUCUGUUCACUUCUACGUGGUAGCAAAGUGAUGUCAACUGCCAUUCAGUGGGUGAUGCCUUCAGUGACACCUGGAUUUCAGAAGUAUUUGAGCUGAUGCUACAGUCUCCUCUUUUCAGAAGACGAUGCAAGAAAGAUUCAUUUCUCCUUGAUCACGUCCCUUUGAGAACUAUGGCUUCAGCUUGGAUUAGGUGUAGAUGUGUGCAUUUACAGUGAAUGUCAUCUGAAUAUUCAGCUGAUGGGUUCGUAAUGUCACACCAAGUUUGAGACCUCCGAACUGCAGGUGCAACUUAGGUGUUUUGUGUGUGGGCAGUGCUUUGUACACUGGAUAAACCUGCACUGAAUUUGCAGCCAUUUGUCAAGCUCCCUGCUAAUUGUAGUCGCAUAUUAUGGAACAUUUGAUGAGAGGGGCCUGUUAAGAGCGUGGUAUAAAGGAGAAAUGGGUGACAAAUGCUUUGUACAGAUUGUCACUAUCUGUGUCGUGAGACUUGCAGACAGAAACCCAUCUUUUCCAUUAGCCACUAAGAGUCAGAUCGAAUGGAUGACCAAUUUUUUUGUUGCUGAUGCUUGGAAAUGGCAGAGCAUGGGACAGAAGUUUGUGUGCAGGAGUCUGUCUGCCCGCUAGGCAGCUGGAUAGCUUAGACCACUGAGGAGCAAAAUAACAGAACCACUGAGUAGUUUGGAUUGGGAAGGACCUGUGGGAAUCCCUGGUGCAACCCUGCUUCAAGGCAGGGCUGAUUUACAUCAGAUUUCUCAAGCCCUUGUCUGAUUGAAUCUCGGGUAUUUCCAAGGAUGGAGUUUCACAACUUUCGGGGGCCUCUAUUCCAGUAUUUGAUGGCUCUUAUAGUGGGGGGGGAAAAAAAAAGUCAUAAUAUCUCCUUGGAAUUUCCCUGCCCUCAGCUUGUGUCCAUUGCCUCUUGGCUUUUCACUUCCACCUAAUGCAUAUGCAAAGGCAAAUAUACAUUUUGAUUACUGUCAGAAUGCCCUCAUCUCAGGGCACUGGUGGUUUCCACAGCCUCAGUGUAGCAAUGGCCAGUAAUUUUUUAUGCGAGACCAAACCCUGAUGACCUGCAGGGCAGGGAAAUGUGCCACUUGUGAUUGCAGUGCAGGGUGACUAAGGGCAACAGGGGCUUCACUGUGCUCUGUAAGGAAGGGUUCUACGUGGCACUGCUGGUUACUUGGUGAUGAGAGCUUCCAUAGAAAGUGGGUGUUCUGAGAGUGGGUGUCUGCAAAUGCUUGGGAAUAAAUAUUGCUGAGCAAAUAUACUGAGUCCAAAGACAGACAAGGCAAACUGUGUUACCCGUGGACUCUUUGUGCUCCUGUGAUUUGCUGAGAGAAUGAUGACAAGCGGAAUUAUAAUUGCACUAUAAUUGCCCAGGAGGUUCUGCUGUGGUUGGGGUGAGUCUGGAGUGGAUGUGGGGAGCCCUCUUGAUACAGCUGCUGCUGUUUCAGAGCAGAAAGGAAUCACCGUAGUGGAGCACAUGGCUUCCUGUCCUGUUUGCUGUGGUUUGGCUUAUUGGGCUGCACACCAGUUUUUCCAUCGCCUGUGAUUACUUUUCUUUCCGUUUUUCCCCCAUUGGGCUGCAGGGACCCAGGUGCAGGCUGAAGGCAGAGGACAGCUGACUUCUUUUCCCUCCGACUGCCUCUCCCCAUGUGUGCUGUGUGUCCCCUCGUAGCGAGGGGAGGAGAAUUCCCCUCCCUUCCCUUGUAAAACGCCCUCUCUGGGAUGCUCCAGUAGGAGCUGGUGGGAGGGAAGGAGUUCUGACUGCACCGAAAAUGUCAUUAAAAAGAAAAAAAAAAAGGCAACUGACAGAAGAGGGAACUUGUCCUCAGAUUCCUGCUUUAUGCAGCGGCGUAAACCAAAGCUCUGAAAGCACUGUGAGAGCUGGAAGGAGUCAGAAAUGAAGUACAGAGGCGCGGUAAGAUUUAUUUUACUGCUUUGAUAUUUGUGCAGUUUUCAGGCGUGCGCUUCUCCUUCUUGUCUAGCCUCUUGUCUAAAAUAAGUUUAGAAGGUUUCAGCAGGAGAGUGAAAUGUUUGAGCCUACUUUGUGAAAUGCACGGUAGUGGGAAAGUUACUUGCAAGUGGUCGGGAUGGCACAGAAGAGAAAUGUUUUGAGGCAACAGUGAAGGUGGGAGUUUGAAAAGCGAGGGCUUAGCGGCAUGCUGUGUUAGGGGAGAAGAAAGGGUGGAGCUUUUGCUUGGGUGGAGGGGGCACGAGCCUGCCCACCGUGGUGGUGGGCACAAAUUGUGUCCUACCCAGGGACUGUGCCCGUGACCACUGCCACAGGGAAUGGCAGGAAAUACCUGCUGAAGGACUCACUGCCACUCAGUCCCUCCGGGAUGUAUUUAUUUCAGCAAAACUUUGUGUUUUAGUAGCAGCCAGGAAGCCUGAGUUUGUGUGCAGCACAGCAGAGCUACCCAGAGCUUUGAAAAGUGUGGCAAAAGAUGGAGGAAAUUAGGAUUGUUACGUGGAAAAGAUGAAUAAGGGAGGAGGAAAUGUAACACACGCAGUAGUGUGACAGGCAGGGCAGACUGCAAGCUCCUGUUCUCUGGGCAGUAACAUAGGAACAGGGGCAUUCCAUUUGGUUAAAAGCUGUCAAAUAGCUGCAGAGAUUACUUUCAUACAGUGCAUAGUUGUGCCACAGAAUUCACUGACCCUGGAAGAUGCCAAGGUCUAGAAUUUAACAUUAUUAAAAAGAACGAAAAAGUGGUUGUGGGGUUUUGUCUGGAUAAGAAUGUCCAAAGCUUUAAUUGGUAAAGCUAGCAAAUUUGGGAGGAGAAGGACUGAAAACAACAUGUCUCUAGGUUUAAACAAUUCUCCAACUGUUGAACUGGGGCCAGAGUAUCCCAUAAUUGCUCAACCUGCGGAUCCUUGCAUCUUUUCCCAAAAAGUCCAUCUGAUGCUGAGCGCUGCCUGAGGAACUCUCUCAGUGCUGAAGGGAAGCACAGAGCUUCUGGAGGACCUGCCUGCCUCUCCCAGCAGCACGGUGCAUUUGUAGAUGGAUUAUGCUGUGCCUAAGGAUUGUGGUUGUCUUCCUCUUGGCACAGGGGACUGUAGGAGGCAGCCAACCUGUGUCCAGCAACAGACAUAGAAAAAGGGUGAUUUUUUAAGGUGAUAGCAGUGAUGUUGUCUAGGGUGGUGGUUUGAUAUUUUCCAAGAGAACGUGUGGGUGUGGAAGUGCCCUUCACAUGCACGGGGAAUGCACUGCAGCUUGCCCUGGUUGGAAAGUUUUACUGUCUUUGAAAGGACAUAAUGGUCUGAAAUGGUUGUGUGGGGCGUGUGGAAUCCAGAGCAGAAGGUGGGAAUCUCUAGUGUGGGGAAAGGCAGAGUGCACCAAGAAUAACAGUGAGUCACGCCGUGUACAAAUAUGCAAGAGAGAAGAAAGAAUGUGUGCAUUUAGAGAGGACUACAACAGCAGUUACCAAAGAGCAGGGAAUGGGGCCACGAGGUCAGCACCCCAUUGCUGCAGGCUGGGAACAACUCCAAGCUGUGAUGCUUAUCUGUGGGCCAGUGUUUGAGUUUCUGUUUCCUUCUCACCUGCUCUGUCUGAUGUAGAAGUGGUGGCAGAACUUCUCUGGAAGUGUCGUGGAAGGGCAGAGAUUCCAAUGUUUGCUCUUUAUGCCAUCUGUUUGUCUUCCGAAGCUUCUGCAGGACCUGAGCUCACAGGUAGCACUGCUACAUAUACUGAAAUCAGGAAUGUCUAUUGACUAGCAACAGCUUAUGUCACCUGUUCAGGAGCAAAAACGUCCUUCCUUCAAUACAGGAAUUCAGUUUAUUCACAUUUCCAGCCUUGGUCGUGUUCCUGCUUUGCCUCACUCAUUUUUCUUACCACUAUUUUAUAUUGAGCUUGUUGAUGGAAAUACGAGCAUCCCUUCUUAGGGUAAGCAUUUCUUUCUUUCCUUCAAAUUAGACCUUUAAAAGUUUUCUUUUCAAUAAUAAUUGGUCCUCUAUUUCCAGUCUUUCUUCCUCCAUCCCAAAAGUGCAUCAUCUGGAAAAUAUGUUUAAAUAUCGAACAAACAACAUUUCCUGCUUCUCGUGCAAAUCUCCGUGGCUCCCUUUGGUCUACAGUUAGUUGUUAUUUGCAUUUCUAAUUUACAUUUGGGCUCCUUAGAUAGAUUUCCACUAUCUAAAUAUUGCAAGUGUCAAAUGCCAUUGAUUGAUAUAUUAGGAGUGGUAAUUAACUGCAGCAACAUCCACACCCUGCAUUAUUGUUUUUCAAUGGAAUGAAUUUUACUUUCACAGUUCUAUCUCCCUGUGACCUACAUGCAUUUAAUAGAUACUUAAAAUAUGCACACAGUAUGAUUGCAUUGCUCACAUUUCCCAUUCUCCUUUGCAUUUUAGGGUGGGAGAUUAAAUGUAGCUUAGGGAAGGGGAGGCAGGACUUCUAGCUUCUAGGCAGCUUGCUACUAGAGAUGUCAUAAAUCUUGGUGAGAGCAAAAUAAGCUCGCUUCCCCUAUAUUUCUGAUUAUGUCAAGUUUUAAUGUACUCCAGCUUGUGUCUACUUAAAAUACGAAAGACUUCAAAAUAAAUACUUUACAGGAAUUAGGCAAGGAAGUGGCAUUUGUCUCUCCUUAAUACAAUUUCUCGCAUAGUGGAUUUCAUCGUUAAAUCCAUUCAAGAUGUGUUUUAGGAUCAGGAGGGAAGCAUCUGAGAGGGAGAACCAAGUUCUUGCAUGGGCAAAGUGCACCCGACUCCAGACAUUCCUUUGCUGGAGAUGUAUUGCUCUAAAAGAAGCAAGAAUUAAAAAAA